rnacentral:snoRNA from 1 species
UUGCUAAAAAAAUAAAAAAAGAAGAAGUUGGCAAUUGGAAAGCCACGUUAUUAGCCUUAAGGACACUGAAGUCUUUCAAGUUUCCUGGAAAUGGCUAUAAAG